AAAUAUCACGAUAUUGUUAUCUAGGUCGUCUGCUUAUUGUUAUCAAACGGUUAUGGUUAUCGAAAAGACUUUACCAAAAUGAUCUCAAUAAGAGGUUUCCAAUAAAUUCUAGAGGCAAAAGCGUUGUGGAAUUAAAUCCGGAGUCUGAUGAUAUCGAACAUAUAGAGAUAAAUAAACAUGGCAAAAUUGUUCAAAUGAAUGAAAAUGAAUUACACGAAAAUGUCCUGCGGAAGAUGGAGCAGUGGGUUAUUCUUCCGCUCGUUUUUCUAUCAGUCACCUCUCGAUCAUCAUGUCUGGAUGCGACAAAAGCAGCAGAGUACAGGGCAAAAACUAUCAAAUAUCAUCACAAGAUUCAAGAAAAUAUGAAAAGCAUCAAUUAUCUGUCCGUCUGUUGCUUUCUUUAUAUGACUGGCGUCAAGUGAAUCUAAUGCCUAAUCUAUGGAAGUUAGAAUGCAUAUGUUUCCUCGUGGUCGCGUGAGAAUCUAAAGAAAGUCAAUACUUUCACAUUU